rnacentral:lncRNA from 1 species
ACCAUGAGCUGCUGGGAAGUGGUUUGGGAUCAGCAGGGUCAGGUGUGAUGAUUUGAAGCCAGGAACAAGGUCACCAGCAGCAAACAGCCUGACCCCAUUGUCUGUAGGGCUGAGGGUGCUGUAUGGGGCUGCUGAGGGUGUCACCGCACUGUCACAUUAUGUGAUGCACAGAUCCCCGUUGCUGGGAUGCUCUGCUCAAGCAGGACAGGGGAUGUGCUGAGCAACGUGUGGUCGAGUGCCUCCAUCUCAGCUCAGAGCUGCCCAUCGCUGUGGCCUCGCAGUCCUGGGGACCUCAAUGGCAUCUGAGAGAGAGAGGGGAAGCCGUGGUCCUUGGAGGUCCCCAGAGGACAAACGCCUUUUAAGAGCCAUGGCAACUAAUCAGCCCUGCAUGGUGACAUCCCCACCAUCUCCAUGGCGACGGACCGAACAUCACAUAGCAACAUGUGCCUCCCGUACCCAUGGAAACGGGCCGGUAACCACUGCUGUCACCGUGGGGAAAAUAAGCCAUCAGUUGGUAUUCGGGAUCCCAACAGCAAAGCAGGGGAACGUGGCUGCUGGCAGCACCCUGCUGGGAAGGCGAGGAGCCGGCAUUGGUUCAGCACU